ensembl:lncRNA
UCAUAGAAUGCCUUGGGCUGGAAUGUAUUGUAUCAAGAUAGCCCAUGACAAAAGCAUAAUCGUACUUAGCAGAAAGCAACAAUAUUUCUUAACGUGAAUAAAAAUAUUUGACUGUUGUCAUAAACUGCAAAAAGCAGCAGCUGUACCCAGGGACAGGGGUGACAAGAUGUGCACCCUAGGGACAGCACAGCUUCUGUCUCCUGAACAAUAACCCAUGCAGUCCUUCCCUCCUCUGUCAACAUACCUAUCUCUGUCGCUGCUGCACCAUCCACAGCUUCUCCUGUUUCCUCUUCUUUUGUUUCAGGCCCUCCACUUACUAUCUGACUGAGCAGCUCAGUUUCCACCUGUUCUCCCGUCUCACCUGGGAACAGUAAUGAUGGAGAUCAAAUUAGGAUCCUCUGUAGAAGUGCUGCGUGCCCCAGCUCCUUCCUGAUUUUGCUUUGGCAGCCCUUCAGCACCCCUCACAGGGGCACUGCACAGAGGUACAGAGCUCAUUGGGUCAGCAAAGAGCAACCAGGAGGCUCCCCAUUGCUUUCUGUCAUCCAGGCAUAUGCCCACAAAAUCCUUUCCAUGCUGUCACCAAUUCCCCAUGGCACUCUCUUGAUUAAACAUCAUAAAUACCAGCUCUGUUCAAACCACUUUUUUCCAGGUUUUGGAUUUUAUUUUAGGUACGUGCAGUUUUAUUCGCAAUGGGAAGGAAACAGUAUUGCACCAUCUGGGCUGCAGCAGGGAAGCUGCUACAUAAUUCAUCUUUACUCACACAGCUACUAAAGAAUAAGGGGAAACAAAACAAGUCCUAAGUAUCUUACACACCAGAGCAUAAAAAUGGAAAGUCUCUUCAUCACACACCUCACGGAAAGAAAAUGCACACAAGUUAACACGCUGUCAUUCCACAUUAUUUCUAGUUUGGUCACAUAAGAACAAAACUCCAUUUCUCGCCCUGCAAGCAGCACGAGCUGCUCGGUGGCCAAAGCCCUGUGACUGAACUCCAGGCAAACAUUCAGCUCCAGGUGUCUGUUUGUGUACAGGAGGUCCCACUGCAUUGCUCAGCAGGUGCUGCUCUGCCUCCAGCGCUGCACGACGAAGCUUGGAAAUGGCCAUUAAUGAAACUGGAGUUUUCAGCUGGGUGAGACUCCGUUUUAUACAAGCGGGCAACCCAUCAUUUACUUCUUACAUAAAAUGAGACCUUAUUCCAAAUGAUAGAUCUCCAUUUUAUGUAGAAGAAAACCACAAAGCUCUUUUACAAAGAGACAGAGGGGAGGACAAGUCAACACUCAUGCUCAGCAAAGCUCCAGGGUUAAGAAGCAGCACGUGCAAUUGGGCUUCCCAUAAAUCAGUCCAUCUAGAUUUUGCACUUCUUCAGGGUGGAUGUGGAGUGAGGAAGUCUACAGAUACCACAUUUCCACAAUAGGGACAGUUGCUUUAUUAUUAAUACAGGUAACUAAGUAAUAGAACUUUUGGUCUCAGCAGAUAGGAAGCAUUGUGUCUAAGAUAAGUAGAAACACAGCCAUUAAAUGAGGGGUAUGGUGGGGCUUCUCACCAAGAACACAAAGGGCAUGAAACGAAAUAGCAGAGCUAAUGACUGAUUUGUUACAGCUUGCAUUUGUGAGCCUGAGGCUUCCCCAUCCACAUCCUUAUGUGCUCUGCAUUGGACAGACCCCGUGGCCAAAAUUCUGGCUCCGGAAGCUCAGUAGUGGCUCUCACUAAACUCAAAAGGGCCCCCUGACAAGUCUCUGGAGACAGAAUCUGGUCUCCUGAAUUGACAAAAGCACAAAUAUUACCCUCAAUGAAUUGGUCCUCUUCAGCAAUAUGCACUUUCUUGAUGAUUUCCACCACAAAGCUGUCACUGCCUUCCUCCAACCCACUGUCCUCUGCUGGUCCUGGUGGCCCACCAUUGUCUCUCAGUGCCGGUGGUAAAGUCUUGGUGCUUUCCUCUUGCCACGCAGAUGGCAGCUCUGGGCUCUGCUCCGGUGCUACACAUGGUGGCUCAGUACCCUCCGGCUCCUCUCUCUCAGGGACCGAGUCAAUCUUUGGCUCCAAGGCCGGAGUCAGCUCUGUGGCCUCUUCCCCUGGCAGGUGCUCACCUGAUUUCAGCUCCUCAGAGGCCAGGCUCACACCCUCCACUGUGUUCAGCUGUGUUUGGUCAGCUAUGGUUUCGUAAUCAUCAGCAAUCGGGGAGCUCUCCCCUGAUGAUGCUAUCAGUCAUGGCGAAGGAAAGAAAAAGAAUUACAGAUAAUUCAGUGGGCACUUCAGUUAGGUGAGAAAUGGGCCCAGCUGGGCCUGUACCACGCAAGCACUGCCUGUCAGAGCUCACACCUGGCCACCAACAGUACUCACACACCACAGCUGCUGCUCUCACACAUACCCAGAGAGGCUGUGGACUCUCCUUCUCUGGAGAUGCCCAAAACCUACCAGGACGCCUACCUGUAGCGGGGGGUUGGACUAGAUGAGCUCCACAGGUCCUUUCUAACCCCUACAACUCAGUGAUUCUGUGACGUACAAUACAAUUUUACACGAAAAGAGUUGACAUUUCACCUUAAGGAUCUGAAGUGUGCAGCAGUUUUGCCAGAAGAUGGGAUGCCGUUCCAGGAAGCAACUUUUCCUGCCCCAAAGCAAGCACGAGGUCAACAUGCUGAGCAGUGAUCACUGCCCCAGAUGGGCUACACAGCAAACUCUGGAAAUACUCUUCUCAGCCCAGUGUGAGACCAUGGCUAUUUCUUAAAACAAACAUCAGUGUUUUUUUUUUUUUUUAUUUCUUUUUUUGUUCUGUUAUUAAAUACUGAACUACCAUUGAAUAAUACAAUCAUAGAAUGGCCUGGGUUGAAAAGGACCACAGUGAUCAUCUGGUUUCAACCCCCCUGCUAUGUGCAGGGUCACCAACCACCACACCAGGCUGCCCAGAGCCACAUCCAGCCUGGCUUUGAAUGCCUCCAGGGAUGGGGCAUCCACA